ACCCUUUAAUGGCUGGUGUUCUAACGUGGGCCCCUUAUCGGGGUUGCGGACAGUGUCUGGUGGGUAGUUUGACUGGGGCGGUCUCCUCCCAAAGAGUAACGGAGGAGCACGAAGGUUGGCUAAUCCUGGUCGGACAUCAGGAGGUUAGUGCAAUGGCAUAAGCCAGCUUGACUGCGAGCGUGACGGCGCGAGCAGGUGCGAAAGCAGGUCAUAGUGAUCCGGUGGUUCUGAAUGGAAGGGCCAUCGCUCAACGGAUAAAAGGUACUCCGGGGAUAACAGGCUGAUACCGCCCAAGAGUUCAUAUCGACGGCGGUGUUUGGCACCUCGAUGUCGGCUCAUCACAUCCUGGGGCUGAAGUAGGUCCCAAGGGUAUGGCUGUUCGCCAUUUAAAGUGGUACGCGAGCUGGGUUUAGAACGUCGUGAGACAGUUCGGUCCCUAUCUGCCGUGGGCGCUGGAAGAUUGAGGGGGGCUGCUCCUAGUACGAGAGGACCGGAGUGGACGCAUCACUGGUGUUCGGGUUGUCAUGCCAAUGGCACUGCCCGGUAGCUAAAUGCGGAAGAGAUAAGUGCUGAAAGCAUCUAAGCACGAAACUUGCCCCGAGAUGAAUCUUCCCUGAGACUUUGAGUCUCCUGAAGGAACGUUGAAGACGA
rnacentral:rRNA from 1 species